rnacentral:rRNA from 1 species
UGGGGAAUCUUGGACAAUGGGCGAAAGCCUGAUCCAGCCAUGCCGCGUGAGUGACGAAGGUCUUCGGAUUGUAAAGCUCUUUUGGCGGGGACGAUAAUGACGGUACCCGCAGAAUAAGCCCCGGCUAACUUCGUGCCAGCAGCCGCGGUAAUACGAAGGGGGCUAGCGUUGUUCGGAAUUACUGGGCGUAAAGCGCACGUAGGCGGAUUUGUAAGUCAGGGGUGGAAUCCCGGGGCUCAACCUCGGAACUGCCCUUGAUACUGCAAAUCUCGAGUCCGAUAGAGGUGAGUGGAAUUCCUAGUGUAGAGGUGAAAUUCGUAGAUAUUAGGAAGAACACCAGUGGCGAAGGCGGCUCACUGGAUCGGUACUGACGCUGAGGUGCGAAAGCGUGGGGAGCAAACAGGAUUAGAUACCCUAGUAGUCCCUGAGCGGGCUGGCAAGGCGCAU